UGGGGAAUAUUGGGCAAUGGGCGCAAGCCUGACCCAGCAACGCCGCGUGAAGGAUGAAGGCUUUCGGGUUGUAAACUUCUUUUAUUCGGGACGAAGAAAAUGACGGUACCGAAUGAAUAAGCCACGGCUAACUACGUGCCAGCAGCCGCGGUAAUACGUAGGUGGCAAGCGUUAUCCGGAUUUACUGGGUGUAAAGGGCGUGUAGGCGGGACUGCAAGUCAGAUGUGAAAACUAUGGGCUCAACCCAUAGCCUGCAUUUGAAACUGUAGUUCUUGAGUGCUGGAGAGGCAAUCGGAAUUCCGUGUGUAGCGGUGAAAUGCAUAGAUAUACGGAGGAACACCAGUGGCGAAGGCGGAUUGCUGGACAGUAACUGACGCUGAGGCGCGAAAGCGUGGGGAGCAAACA
rnacentral:rRNA from 1 species